rnacentral:tRNA from 1 species
GGGGGGGGACGGUAACCCCUAAACGGGUGGACUGAAAAUCCAUGUGUCGGCGGUUCGAUCCCGCCCCUGUCCA